rnacentral:rRNA from 1 species
AUGGAUGAAAACCAAUGCCCCAUUCUUAGUUGGAAUGUGCGGGGACUCAACAUGCCGGCCAAGCGUGAUGCGGUCUGCGAGUCUGCCGCAGCACACCGGCCGACGAUUUUCUGCCGCCAGGAAACUAAAAUCGACGUGUCGUCACUGGCCAUAGUCAAGGAUGUAGGCGGCCGCCAGCUAACUGACAGUGUAGUUCUGCCUGCGAUAGGUUCUAGAGGAGGGGCGGCAAUCCUGUGGGACAGAUUGUCUCGAUCGCUUCCCAUGCCAUCGGAGAAGUUUGCCAUUACAGUCAAGGUCACAGUACUCCGUUCGGCUUCCACGUUCUAGCUAACCACAGUCUGCGGACCGACGGAUGACGCCAGGAAAGAUCAAUUUAUGGCAGAGCUAGUUAGAUCAGCGUCGCCCCCAGGUGACCCCUGGCUGCUCACAGGAGAUUUCAAUGUCAUAUAUGAGGCUAGGGACAAAAGCAACUCGAACUUCAACAUGCGCAUCAUGGGUAGAUUUCGAGCUGCGAUCGAUAUGGCAUAUCUGCGUGAGAUCAAGUGUAAGAAUAGGCGCUUCACCUAG